rnacentral:rRNA from 1 species
UACGUAGGUGGCAAGCGUUGUCCGGAUUUACUGGGCGUAAAGGGCGUGCAGGCGGUCUGUUAAGUUCAGGGUGAAAGCUCCCGGCUCAACUGGGAGAGGUCCUUGGAUACUGGCAGACUUGAGGGAGGUAGAGGAGAGUGGAAUUCCCGGUGUAGUGGUGAUAUGCGCGGAUAUCGGGAGGAACACCGGUGGCGAAGGCGGUUCUCUGGGCCAUUACUGACGCUGAGGAGCGAAAGCGUGGGGAGCGAACAGG